UCCGGUUUGGCACCGGCAGUCUUCCUAGAGUGCCCGGCAUUACCCGCUGGUAACUAGGAACGGGGGUUGCGCUCGUUGCGGGACUUAACCCAACAUCUCACGACACGAGCUGACGACAGCCAUGCAGCACCUGUGCGCGGGCUCCGAAGAGGGGCCCCCGUUUCUGGGGGCUUUCCCGCGCAUGUCAAGCCCAGGUAAGGUUCUUCGCGUUGCGUCGAAUUAAACCACAUGCUCCACCGCUUGUGCGGGCCCCCGUCAAUUCCUUUGAGUUUCACCGUUGCCGGCGUACUCCCCAGGUGGAUUACUUAUCGCUUUCGCUAAGCCACUAAAAGUUACCCUCUAGCAGCGAGUAAUCAUCGUUUACAGUGUGGACUAC
rnacentral:misc_RNA from 1 species